rnacentral:lncRNA from 1 species
AGUUGUUAACGGAUAUGAUAUGGGAAGGUUGAGCUGCUGUUUAUCUGUUCCUAGAGAUGCUAGAAUUCUAGAGAAUUUUAUCUUUGAAAAAUCUUUAAAAUAUUGCAUGAUGAGUUCCUGUAUGAUGAGAGUUUAAAUUCCUACCACAGCCAUAUAUAUACAUGCUUGCUAGACUUCGAGCCACACAUUUAUUAUUUACUGCUUAUGAGCAUUGAGUGUGGUCAAGCUGUGUAGACCCUUAGGAGCUUGUUAUGUGGUUAAGUCAAGAUUCACUUGCACGUUCACUCAUAUAUGCUACUUCUACUCCGGAAGUACCAUCCACAUAUAUCCAUCCAUGUCCAUCUCCAGAACCACCCAAAAAUAUUCUACUCCUAAUUCGGGAGAGAAUAGCGAAAAAUAUUUCUGUUUUCCCUUGUGAAAUAAAUGCUCAAGUUAUCUUGCUACUACCACUUGCAAUAUUAUCUCAAGAGAUGAGUGCUAUGAAAAAAAAAUAUAAAACAAGGAAAUAAAAAGGGGCAAGUGCCCGGAACCUCGAAAGAAAGAAAAAGUGAGACGAGAGGUAAAAAUGGACAAGUGUCCGAGAAUAGAAUUAGGGGUACAAGAUACCCACCUGAGAGGAAAGAAAAAGAAGAGCAUCUCAUUCUCCGCAUAAAGUUUCAAAAAGCAAGGAAGGUAUGUAUCCCCUCAAAAGAGCAAGAGUAGAAUUAGGCUUCCACCAUUGUUAUCACCAUCAUCACCAUACACCAUUCAUUCGCCACACAUGCACAUCUUGAUUUGACUUAUUGACUUGUUUCUCUGGAUCCAUGGUUUGACUAUGCAAUAAAUGUCUUGUAAGUAUGUAUUUGCUGUCUCCCACCCAUGAGCUCCAGAUAUUAAAGCCUUAUUAGAGUAGGGUGAGAGAGAAGGCAAUGUCACUAUGCCUUAUACCACAAAUACCACAUAUCUUGAGAGAAGGCAUAUACCAUCACUGCCUUGGUAAGGAUCCAGAAAUACCACAAAAGAGAGAUUUAGAGAGUCAUACAAGGAAUCUCUGAGUUUUAUUUGAAAAUCUACAAAAAAACUCCAGAGCUAUAGCUGAUCAAGAAUAAGAGACAUGGCCCUUGGCUAGACUG